AAUGCGCUGACCACUCAGCAGCAGCAGCAGCAGAAACUGCGGCUUCAGAGAAUCCAGAUGGAGAGAGAAAGGAUUCGAAUGCGCCAAGAGGAGCUCAUGAGGCAGGAAGCUGCCCUCUGUCGACAACUCCCCAUGGAAGCUGAGACUCUUGCCCCAGUUCAGGCUGCUGUCAACCCACCCACGAUGACCCCAGACAUGAGAUCCAUCACUAAUAAUAGCUCAGAUCCUUUCCUCAAUGGAGGGCCAUAUCAUUCGAGGGAGCAGAGCACUGACAGUGGCCUGGGGUUAGGGUGCUACAGUGUCCCCACAACUCCGGAGGACUUCCUCAGCAAUGUGGAUGAGAUGGAUACAGGUAGGAGCAAAGCCUGCAAGCACUUACAGUGGGUUUGUGUUUUUUAAAUGAUCUCUUCGGUCAUCUCAAUUUUAUUUUUCUUUUAUUUUUAUAAUUUCAACUUUUAUUUUAUAUUUGGGGGUACAUGUGCAGGUUUACUACAUGGUUAUAUGAUGCUGAGGUUUGGGAUACAAUUGCUCUCGUCACCCAGGUAGUGAGCAUAG
rnacentral:sRNA from 1 species